rnacentral:lncRNA from 1 species
UAUGCAUGAAGAGCUUUUAUAAUUUUGGAUUGGUAGUUUGUGAGGGACGAGUUCUUUGAACAGUAUUGGUGUUAUUAUAUGAAAAUGAGUUGGGAAGUGUUUGGAAAUCUUCAAGAGUCAAAAGUGAGUUUAGGUAUGGAAGAAAUGUGUAUGAGGCAGAGAAGACAAGUGAGACUUCUGUUCCAAGAUGUAGUGUCGAAUUGGAAGUGGGAGAAUAAAUGGGCGUUAAGCAUGGGAGAAGGGUCAGUGGAUGAAGGAAAGGAACAAGGAUAAGUUUCAAGUUGUAAGAUCAAUUUUAAGCUGAGCAAGCGUUAGUCGUGAAUGGAAGCUGAAAGAAGACUCAAGUUUUUAGCUUAGUAAGAAUUGAUUAAGAGACGAUUGAAGAAUAUGAGAUUGGGGUCUCUAGUGAAGUUGUAAAGUAAUUUCAUUAGUAUAAUUGAAUAUUAUAACAAAUGGGUUUUUUGAAAUGGUUAAGAAGUGUAGAUUGGAC